rnacentral:lncRNA from 1 species
AGUUAACACACUUCAGUGCUAUGAGCCUUCAGGACUGCACCAGAGUCAACAUAGCCUUUGUAUGAUGGCAGAUUGGUUCUUUAUUUCAUUUGUGGCUGGAGACAAAGACAAUGAGUCCAUUGGUGAAACUGGAUUGCUGAAGUCACCUAAUAGUUAUUAAUAUGCUGAGUUAAUCUUGUAUGCUGACACUUUGGAAGCAACCUAGAUGCCUCUCAGAUGAAAAAUAGAUGGAGAAAAUGUGGUACAUUUACACAAUUGAGUACUACUCAGCAGAAAGAAACAAUGGAAUCUUGAAAUUCACAGGCAAAUGGAUGGAAUUAGAAGAAAUCAUUCUGAGUGAGAGACUUUAGCAAAUUUCCAUUACAAGAACUGGAGAGAAGUACAGAUAAUCUUUACAUCUGAUUGAAAACGGGCUUCCUGGUUCUUGAUUUCCACGUUUAAUGGUUCAGUCAAUGAAAACAGUCUCUUCGUUCUGCUUGGUGUAGAGACUUUCCGACUUCAGCAGUUCAUUUUAGCAUACUGUCCCCCUAUGCAAACUGUCGAGCAGAGGACUCCAAAGAGACGGUGGAGAACAUAAAAGGAACUGAGUUGUUACUUACCCACGUGAGGAUGAACAUGUUUUGAAAACUCUCCAGCUGAACUAAGUUGGUCACACAUGAGAACGCUUUAAGGAGAUGGUUGUUGUAGCAGCUAGAUAGGGUGAUAUAAACUCCUCAAAAAUAUGACUUCAAAAUGUAUGCUUAGCAAAACAAAGCAAAUGUGUCUAUACCUACAGAGGCUGGUAUGAAGAAGCCAGGAGCCUACUAAUGAACCCCCAAGAGAUAUUUUCAUGUAAUUAAUAAAUCAUAAAACCAGUGUCAACACAAGGUCUUAACUAUUCCCAGUGGCCUUUUGGAAUUCUCUUACUACAUCCUUCAAUUUUAAUAAUUAUCUAGACAUGAUUGCUUUGACAGUUUCUUUCAUAUCGUGCCCUAAAUAAUCUGAAAUCUAUGUCAUUUCAUAGUCUAUGAUUCCAGAAGGUAAAUGGAAAGAUGAGUGAGGCAGGACAAACAUAUGCCAGCUGUUUCUUGAGUUUAAUAAUGCAGAACCCCUCCUCAGCUGUGGGAAACUGACUGAAGGGCUGGCACUGGGCAUUGUAUUAACUGACCAAAGUCAAGGAUGACUUUGGACUAUAAACUCAGCUGACCAUAUUAUCUGGUUUCAGUCACAUAAAUAAAGCAUUGUUUUAAUGUGGUUCUUCUGCAUGCUCUACUAUGAUAUUUCUAAACCUGUUUAGAUGUUACCAGACGUUGAAAAAGUCCUCAAGAGCAACGAUACUCCAGGGCUAAUAGUGAAGCCAGAUUCCAACACUAAAACAGCCAUGCUGUGCAAUUAUUUGCGGCAGGGGCAAAAUGCCAGACAAACUGUCUUCAGUAAUAGAGGAAUUUUUCAGUAAUAGUGGAAGACAUGGUGACAGGAGCUUGUGAUGGUUGGUCAUACUGUAUCAAUAGUCAGGAAGCAGAGAGAGAUGAAUGCUAGUUCUCUACUCAUUUCAUCUGCUUUACUCAGUCUAGGACCCAAGCCACCCACAGAUAAGGUUGUUCACCACAUCUCAGUGAAUGGAUUCUAAAUAUUCUCUUCCAAUCAAUCCCAACGUCUUGUCUCCUAGGUAAUUCCAGGUCCAAUCAAAUUGACAGUUAAUAAUGACUAUACAUGCUCAUCCCAGUCUCACUGUCCCUAGGCUCCUUUCUUUCACCUACAU